CUGUUUUUGUUUUAAUUUGAGUUUGUUUUUUAUGUCUAUAGUUUAAGCUUUAGUUUUUAUUUUUCCAUUUAAUUACUUUUAGUUAUUAACUCAGCUUAAACGAAAUGAAAAAUGUUGGCAUCCACCUGAAAUAAAUAAGAUAGCAUUUUGCUUUGAUAAUAACCCAAUAAUAUUAACAAUAACCCUGUUUCGUGGUUAUUAUUGUUAAUACAAUCGGGUUAUGAUUAACUAAAACAAAAACAACAACAAAAAUGUCAUUUUCAUUAUUAAAAGAAAAUUAAAAUUAACUGAAAAUAAGUUUAAGGAUUGUUUAUUCUAUUUAAUUUUAGUUAACGUUUACUUUAUUUCAAGUAAUAAGCAUCUUUUUUAUGGUUUUAGUUAAUGAUUAUAACCAUGCUCCAAUCCAUAUGCAAAUAUUAUAUAAGGACGUGUGAUCCCCAUUAUUGCUAUCAGAGUCAAGUUCAUGUUCAUUGCCUGUGGGAGUCCCAGCCAGACUGGGGACUUCUUCAUCCACCCCUGUGAACCAGCUCACCCCUUGUAACCCACACCCUAUCUGCCCCAUCCGCUCACCCCUGUGGUUUUAGUGGCGGGCUGGAGGGGGCUCUCCUCUCUGUGCAGUUGCUAAGGGAGCAAGACCUGGCUGGCCCAGCAAUGUGCUGGUGAAAAGGCCCGCCUGUCAAAGUGUCUGAGGGAAGUCAGGCUGGUUGGCGCGCCCCUCCGUAUACACACACUCUUAUAUAUACAGCCUGCAUGUGUGUGUGUUCCAGACCCUGGGAAUGGCAGCAAGCACUUUAUAUUCAUCAGCCACCCCCCCCCCCCCCCCCCCCCGCCGCAGUAUUUGGUAAAUAGCCCCCCUCAUUCCUUAAAUGUCUAGUCUACUUCCAUCCCAUAAUCCUCCUCAUUGCAUCUCCUCUAGGAACAAUAUUUGUGACUCUUGGUAAAAACGAUUGUAGGCCUUUAGGUUCUACAAAAUUUUUUUUUUUUUUUUUAGAAUGUUAUGUUUUUCACCCUAAGUAACAAUGGUUCUUUGCUCACUGAAAGGUUCUUUGAGGAACCCAAAAUGGUUCUUCUGUGGCAUCUCUUUGCAGAAACCCUAUUUUGAGUCCUUUAUUUUUAAGAAUGUUUUUUAUUGGCAUCAAUGGUUUCAUGAAGAACCUGUAACAAUUCCAUUCCACAAAAGGUUCUUUGUAGUAGAAAAAGGUUAUUUUAAGAACUGUUCACUGAAAGGUUCUUUGGGAAACCAAAACAUGGCUAUGAAAACCUCCUUGUGAAACCUUUAUUUUUAAGAGCGUAGUUCUUUGCAUGAUGAGUGUGGACUGUUGCAACGAUAUUAGUAACUUAAUACAAUUGUUUCUACUAUAAUCAACAUAGUGGUGCAUAGUACAUUAAAAUGGCAUGUUGGGCUCCGUUCCCAUUACAGUAGAGUUUGGUAAGAACGUGUGUGUGUGUGUGUGUGUGUUUUCUUGUGUGUGUUUUCUUGAGGUCUCAUUCAAGGCUGAGGACAAGAAUUGAGAAUAAAAGGGCAGUGAUUUGCAUAAGCUGCAUGCUGUCUGAGGGUUUUUGGGAAGGCGGUGGGAGCUUGAGAAGAAAAAAAUAUGCGGGAAUACAAAAAAAAAAAAAAGAAAAAGAAAGAGACAGAAAGAA